rnacentral:piRNA from 1 species
UAAAGGUGCUGAAUCGGCGUCCCCGCA